UCUAAGAUGGAGCAGCUACAAGAUGAGACC
rnacentral:piRNA from 1 species